ACCUUUUUUUAUGAAUGACAGUAUAGCAUAGAGGAAGUCACCUCUAACCAAUUUUUUUUAAAUCUAUAACCAAAAAAGAGCCCAAAUAGCCAAAGUAAGCCAACAAAAAAGAACAAAUGUAGAGGCAUCACAUUAUCCAACUUCAAAUUAUACUACAAGACUAUAGUAACCAAAACAGCAUAGUACUGGUAUAAAAAUAGGCACACAGACCCAUGGAACAGAAUAGAGAACCCAGAAAGAAAGCCAAACACUUACAGCCAACUGAUCUUCGACAAAGCAAACAAAAGCAUAAAGUGGGGAAAGGACACCCUAUUCAACAAACGGUCCUGGGAUAACUAACAAGCUACGUGUAGAAGAAUGAAACUCAUCUCUCACCUUACACAAAGUCAACUGGAGAUGGAUCAACUCAAACCUAAGUAAGAUCUGAAACCAUAAAAAUUCUAGAAGAUAACAUUGGAAAAAACUCUUCUAGACAUUGACUUAGGCAGAGUUCAUGACCAAGAACCCAAAAGCAAAUGCAACAAAAACAAAAAUAAAUAGAUGGAACCUAAUUAAACUAAAAAGCUUCUGCACAGCAAAAGAAAUAAUCAGCAAACAGACAACCCACAGAGUGGGAGAAAAUCUUCGCAAACUAUGCAUCUGACAAAGAACUAAUAUCCAGAAUCUACAAGGAACUGAAACAAAUGAACAAGAAAAAAACAAAUAAUCCCAUCAAAAAGUGGACAAAGGACAUGAACAGACAAAAGAAGAUAUACAGUUGGCCAAGAAGCAUAUGAAAAAUGUUCAACAUCACUAUCAAGGAAAUGCAAAUUAAAACUACAAUGAGAUA
rnacentral:lncRNA from 1 species